UUUUACCGGAAGGUGGGUCUGGAAUUACGGAUCAGAGCUUGAUUUUAAGCAUCUUAUUUACACUAAGGGGA
rnacentral:tRNA from 1 species